UGCCUCUCAGAGUCGUACCUGGAGAGUUUCCAGUACUCUACCAGUCCCAACUACAGGAGGGAGAAUCAAGCAGAGGCCUAUCCAUUCCACUCCUAGCUUGGGCAGAGGGUAGCGAGUGGAAGGCAACCUGCUACAAGU